ACCUACGGGAGGCAGCAGUAGGGAAUCUUCCACAAUGGGCGAAAGCCUGAUGGAGCAACGCCGCGUGGGUAAAGAAGAUCUUCGGAUCGUAAAACCCUGUUGUUAGAGAAGAAAGUGCGUGAGAGUAACUGUUCACGUUUCGACGGUAUCUAACCAGAAAGCCACGGCUAACUACGUGCCAGCAGCCGCGGUAAUACGUAGGUGGCAAGCGUUAUCCGGAUUUAUUGGGCGUAAAGGGAACGCAGGCGGUCUUUUAAGUCUGAUGUGAAAGCCUUCGGCUUAACCGGAGUAGUGCAUUGGAAACU
rnacentral:rRNA from 1 species